GAUCCUGGCUCAGAAUCAACGCUGGCGGCGCGCCUAACACAUGCAAGUCGAACGAGAAAGUGGAGCAAUCCAUGAGUAAAGUGGCGUACGGGUGAGUAACACGUGGGUAAUCUACCUUUUAGUGAGGAAUAACUUUGGGAAACCGAAGCUAAUACCGCAUAAGCCUGAGAAGGGAAAGCAGCAAUGCGCUGAAAGAGGAGCCCGCGGCCGAUUAGCUAGUUGGUGAGGUAAAGGCCCACCAAGGCUGAGAUCGGUAGCCGGCCUGAGAGGGCACACGGCCACACUGGCACUGAAACACGGGCCAGACUCCUACGGGAGGCAGCAG
rnacentral:rRNA from 1 species